AAUCACAAUUUGCAAUUGUUUUGUGGUUUAUGUGUUUAUUGUCUGUGUCAUUCCAUAAGGUAUCCGCUGCAUGAGAUCUGAGAUGCCAGACUAAGGAGGAGACUAUUCUCUACGAUUCCUCACUUGUCAAGAGGUCCCGUCCAGAGAAAUUCAAAAAGGACAGGAUCAUUGUCAUCCAAAAAGAAGAAGGGCUCAAGGAUGCCAAAAUUUGUGGGCUAAAAGAAUCUCAUGGUCACAAGCAGCGAUGGCUAAUAUAAAGGAUCCCUCCUUCCAGCCCUUUCUUUAGUGACUUCACCC
rnacentral:lncRNA from 1 species